rnacentral:rRNA from 1 species
UACGUAGGUGGCAAGCGUUGUCCGGAAUUAUUGGGCGUAAAGCGCGCGCAGGUGGUUUCUUAAGUCUGAUGUGAAAGCCCACGGCUCAACCGUGGAGGGUCAUUGGAAACUGGGGAACUUGAGUGCAGGGGAGAAGAGUGGAAUUCCACGUGUAGCGGUGAAAUGCGUAGAGAUCGGGAGGAACACCAGAGGCGAAGGCGGCGACCUGGACAAGCACUGACGCUCAACUACGAAAGCGUGGGGAGCAAACAGG